AUGCAGUCGAACGGUGAAGCUCAGCUUGCUGGGUGGAUCAGUGGCGAACGGGUGAGUAACACGUGAGCAACCUGCCCUGGACUCUGGGAUAAGCGCUGGAAACGGCGUCUAAUACUGGAUAUGAAACGUGGCCGCAUGGUCAACGUUUGGAAAGAUUUUUCGGUCUGGGAUGGGCUCGCGGCCUAUCAGCUUGUUGGUGAGGUAAUGGCUCACCAAGGCGUCGACGGGUAGCCGGCCUGAGAGGGUGACCGGCCACACUGGGACUGAGACACGGCCCAGACUCCUACGGGAGGCAGCAGUGGGGAAUAUUGCACAAUGGGCGGAAGCCUGAUGCAGCAACGCCGCGUGAGGGAUGACGGCCUUCGGGUUGUAAACCUCUUUUAGCAAGGAAGAAGCUUUUGUGACGGUACUUGCAGAAAAAGCGCCGGCUAACUACGUGCCAGCAGCCGCGGUAAUACGUAGGGCGCAAGCGUUAUCCGGAAUUAUUGGGCGUAAAGAGCUCGUAGGCGGUUUGUCGCGUCUGCUGUGAAAUCCCGAGGCUCAACCUCGGGCCUGCAGUGGGUACGGGCAGACUAGAGUGCGGUAGGGGAGAUUGGAAUUCCUGGUGUAGCGGUGGAAUGCGCAGAUAUCAGGAGGAACACCGAUGGCGAAAGCAGAUCUCUGGGCCGUAACUGACGCUGAGGAGCGAAAGGGUGG
rnacentral:rRNA from 1 species